rnacentral:tRNA from 1 species
GUUAGCUCAGAGGUUAGUGCUUACGUCUCGUAACCGGAAGGUCGGGGAUCGAAUCCCGCUAGAGACA